rnacentral:rRNA from 1 species
AUUGAACGCUGGCGGCAGGCCUAACACAUGCAAGUCGAACGGUAACAGGAAGCAGCUUGCUGCUUUGCUGACGAGUGGCGGACGGGUGAGUAAUGUCUGGGAAACUGCCUGAUGGAGGGGGAUAACUACUGGAAACGGUAGCUAAUACCGCAUAACGUCGCAAGACCAAAGAGGGGGACCUUAGGGCCUCUUGCCAUCGGAUGUGCCCAGAUGGGAUUAGCUAGUAGGUGGGGUAACGGCUCACCUAGGCGACGAUCCCUAGCUGGUCUGAGAGGAUGACCAGCCACACUGGAACUGAGACACGGUCCAGACGCCUACGGGAGGCAGCAGUGGGGAAUAUUGCACAAUGGGCGCAAGCCUGAUGCAGCCAUGCCGCGUGUAUGAAGAAGGCCUUCGGGUUGUAAAGUACUUUCAGCGGGGAGGAAGGGAGUAAAGUUAAUACCUUUGCUCAUUGACGUUACCCGCAGAAGAAGCACCGGCUAACUCCGUG